rnacentral:rRNA from 1 species
UACGUAGGGUGCUAGCGUUGUUCGGAAUCAUUGGGCGUAAAGCGCGUGUAGGCGGUCAGGCAAGUCAGAUGUGAAAUCCCUGGGCUCAACCGAGGAAGUGCAUCCGAAACUGCUUGGCUAGAAGACGGUAGAGGAAGGUGGAAUUCCUAGUGUAGAGGUGAAAUUCGUAGAUAUUAGGAGGAAUACCGGUGGCGAAGGCGGCCUUCUGGGCCGAUCUUGACGCUGAGACGCGAAAGCGUGGGGAGC